ACCUGUAACUUGAAGUCUCUGAAUUUUUUCUUACGCAGAUUCUUGUCUUCACCGUGUCUCAAAGAUCCAGAAGCUGUUAAAGCAGCUGACACUAAAAAAGGCUUGCAGACUUUUACAUAUUUGCCACAGUCAUGCUGUGGUUCCAUCAGCAUGAGGCGGGGCUACUAAUGAACUCGGCCUCAGAAUCUAUCCCCUGCAUCUGCCUAGUAGUAGGGAGUUGCGAAAGCUCCUGAAGAGAAUGGAGAGGGAGAGCAUACCAUCCAGGAGAGAAAUUCAGAGCUCUUAUUGCGAGACUGUUGCUGUGGUUUGCAUUACAAAUUUUCCAAGAUUGAGCCUGCAAGAACCCAUGUCUUCUCCCAAUGAAAUGAAGCGUUCUGACUCAGGUUCCAG
rnacentral:lncRNA from 1 species